rnacentral:rRNA from 1 species
GACGUAGGGCGCGAGCGUUGUCCGGAUUUAUUGGGCGUAAAGAGCUCGUAGGCGGCUUGUCGCGUCGUUCGUGAAAACCUGCAGCUCAACUGCAGGCUUGCGGUCGAUACGGGCAGGCUAGAGUUCGGUAGGGGAGACUGGAAUUCCUGGUGUAGCGGUGAAAUGCGCAGAUAUCAGGAGGAACACCAGUGGCGAAGGCGAGUCCCUGGACAGGUCCUGACGCUGAGGCACGAAAGCUAGGGGAGCAAACAGG